GAUGAAGAACGCAGCGAAAUGCGAUAAGUAAUGUGAAUUGCAGAAUUCAGUGAAUCAUCGAAUCUUUGAACGCACCUUGCGCCCUUUGGCCAUUCCGAAGGGCAUGCCUGUUUGAGUAUCAUGAACACCUCAACUCUUCAUGGUUUUCCGUGAUGAGCUUGGACUUUGGGGGUCUUGCUGGCCUAUGGUCAGCUCCUCUAAAAUAAAUCAGCUUGCCAGUGUUUGGUGGGUAUCACAGGUGUGAUAACUAUCUACGCUUGUGGUUUUCCACCAGGUAACCUUCAGCAGUGGAGGUUCGCUGGAGCUCACAGAUGUGUCUCUCCUCAGUGAGGACAGCUCUUUGAAUGUUUGAUCUCAAAUCAGGUAGGACUACCCGCUGAACUUAAGCAUAUCAAUAAGCUGAGGA
rnacentral:misc_RNA from 1 species